AGUGAACGCUGGCGGUAGGCCUAACACAUGCAAGUCGAACGGCAGCACAGUAAGAGCUUGCUCUUACGGGUGGCGAGUGGCGGACGGGUGAGGAAUACAUCGGAAUCUACUUUUUCGUGGGGGAUAACGUAGGGAAACUUACGCUAAUACCGCAUACGACCUACGGGUGAAAGCAGGGGAUCUUCGGACCUUGCGCGAUUGAAUGAGCCGAUGUCGGAUUAGCUAGUUGGCGGGGUAAAGGCCCACCAAGGCGACGAUCCGUAGCUGGUCUGAGAGGAUGAUCAGCCAAACUGGAACUGAGACACGGUCCAGACUCCUACGGGAGGCAGCAGUGGGGAAUAUUGGACAAUGGGCGCAAGCCUGAUCCAGCCCUACCGCGUGGGUGAAGAAGGCCUUCGGGUUGUAAAGCCCUUUUGUUGGGAAAGAAAAGCAGCAGGUUAAUACCCCGCUGUUCUGACGGUACCCAAAGAAUAAGCACCGGCUAACUUCGUG
rnacentral:rRNA from 1 species